rnacentral:rRNA from 1 species
GUCUUUUUGUUAAAAAUUUAAAGUCGGGCCUGCCCACUGAAAUUUUGAAUGGCCGUGGUAUUUUGACCAUGCUAAGGUAGCAUAAUUAUUAGUUUUUUAAUUGAAAGCUGGAAUGAAAGGUUUGAUAAAAAAAUGACUGUCUCUGUUUAAUUUUAUUAAAAAUUUAUUUUUAAGUUCAAAAGCUUAAUUUUAAUUAAAAGACGAGAAGACCCUAUAGAGUUUAAUAAUUUAAGAUAAUUUAUAUUUUAGAAUUAACUUAUUUAUUUUUUAAUAUUAUUUAAUUGGGGUGAUUGAAAAAUUUAAUUAACUUUUUUUAUAUUUAACCAUUAAUUUAUGAUAAUUUGAUCCAAUUUUUUGAUUAUAAGAUAAAAUUACCUUAGGGAUAACAGCGUAAUUUUUUUAGAAAGUUCAAAUUAAAAGAAAAGAUUGCGACCUCGAUGUUGGAUUAAAAUUAAAUUUUGGUGUAGAAGGUAAAAACUUUAAGUCUGUUCGACUUUUAAAAUUUUACA